GACGAACGCUGGCGGCGUGCCUAAUACAUGCAAGUAGGACGCACAGUCUAUACCGUAGCUUGCUACACCAUAGACUGUGAGUUGCGAACGGGUGAGUAACGCGUAGGUAACCUGCCUAUUAGAGGGGGAUAACUAUUGGAAACGAUAGCUAAUACCGCAUAACAGUAUGUAACACAUGUUAGAUGCUUGAAAGAUGCAAUUGCAUCGCUAGUAGAUGGACCUGCGUUGUAUUAGCUAGUAGGUAGGGUAAUGGCCUACCUAGGCGACGAUACAUAGCCGACCUGAGAGGGUGAUCGGCCACACUGGGACUGAGACACGGCCCAGACUCCUACGGGAGGCAGCAGUAGGGAAUCUUCGGCAAUGGGGGGAACCCUGACCGAGCAACGCCGCGUGAGUGAAGAAGGUUUUCGGAUCGUAAAGCUCUGUUGUUAAGGAAGAACGAGUGUGAGAAUGGAAAGUUCAUACUGUGACGGUACUUAACCAGAAAGGGACGGCUAACUACGUGCCAGCAGCCGCGGUAAUACGUAGGUCCCGAGCGUUGUCCGGAUUUAUUGGGCGUAAAGCGAGCGCAGGCGGUUAGAAAAGUCUGAAGUGAAAGGCAGUGGCUCAACCAUUGUAGGCUUUGGAAACUGUUUAACUUGAGUGCAGAAGGGGAGAGUGGAAUUCCAUGUGUAGCGGUGGAAUGCGUAGAUAUAUGGAAGAACACCAGUGGCGAAGGCGGCUCUCUGGUCUGCAACUGACGCUGAGGCUCGAAAGCAUGGGUAGCGAACAGG
rnacentral:rRNA from 1 species